rnacentral:rRNA from 1 species
UAGGGAAUCUUCCGCAAUGGGCGAAAGCCUGCCGGAGCAACGCCGCGUGAGUGAUGAAGGUCUUCGGAUCGUAAAACUCUGUUAUUAGGGAAGAACAAAUGUGUAAGUAACUAUGCACGUCUUGACGGUACCUAAUCAGAAAGCCACGGCUAACUACGUGCCAGCAGCCGCGGUAAUACGUAGGUGGCAAGCGUUAUCCGGAAUUAUUGGGCGUAAAGCGCGCGUAGGCGGUUUUUUAAGUCUGAUGUGAAAGCCCACGGCUCAACCGUGGAGGAUCAUUGGAAACUGGAAAACUGGGGUGCAGAAGAGGAGGGUGGAAUUCCAUGUGGAGCGGUGAAAUGCGCAGAGAUAUGGAGGAACACCAGUGGCGAAGGCGACUUUCUGGUCUGUAACUGACGCUUAUGUGCGAAAGCGAGGGGAUCAAACAGG